UGACGUCAUCCCCACCUUCCUCCGAGUUGACCCCGGCAGUCUCCUAUGAGUCCCCGCCAUCACGCGCUGGCAACAUAGAACGAGGGUUGCGCUCGUUGCGGGACUUAACCCAACAUCUCACGACACGAGCUGACGACAACCAUGCACCACCUGUGCAGGACCCUUGCGGACCCCCCAUCUCUGGAGGAUUUCCCUGCAUGUCAAGCCUUGGUAAGGUUCUUCGCGUUGCGUCGAAUUAAGCCACAUGCUCCGCUGCUUGUGCGGGCCCCCGUCAAUUCCUUUGAGUUUUAGCCUUGCGGCCGUACUCCCCAGGCGGGGUGCUUAAUGCGUUAGCUGCGGCACGAACGGCGUGGAAUACCGCUCACACCUAGCACCCACCGUUUACGGCGUGGACUACCAG
rnacentral:misc_RNA from 1 species